GCCAGAGCCAUAUCUCCUUGCAGUUCUUGCCUGGUUUCACACUGAUGCUAAGCAGGGUUGAGUCUGGCCAGUACCUGGAUAGGAGGCCUCUGGGGGAAACUAAGCUUGCAGCUGGAA
rnacentral:rRNA from 1 species